rnacentral:lncRNA from 1 species
CUUUUCCGGAGUUUAGGGGGUUGGAAGGAUUAGGGUGCAUCAGUAUUGGGAGACAUAUUGGAGGUUAUUGAGGUCUGAGGAAGCUGAAGGGUUUGGGGUACUUGGGGAUUGAUGGUGGGGCUGCAAUGCAGGGGGCGUCUGUGGACAGCCUGGUGCAUAUUGGGUCCUCAUGGGGUGAACCCCUUCUCACCCCACCCCCCCACCUUCCCCAGGCAUCCUGGAGACAGAUAUCACCUUCCUCCUCAUCUUCAUUUCUUCAUUGUCAUCUUCUCAUUAUUCAUCAGUGGAUCUCAUGGACAGCUGCAAUCCUCAGCUGACCCCCACUGGUCACAGGGAGGCACUGGGAGCUACUCAGACCAUGCUGGGAGCAACUGGUAGAUACUGGAACCAUGGUGGGGAUACUGGGAUCACAACUGGGAUAACUAGGAUCAUACAGGGAACAACUAUAUAACCAUGCUGGAGAGUGAGUGACAGGGAGUAAGGGGAAUCAUACUGGGGAUGAAUGGUAGCAACUGGGACCAUGGGAUCACACUGGUAUCAUAGUGGGAGUGACUAGGAUCAUACAGGGAAUGACUGGAACCAUACUGGAGGUGAUUGGGAGCCACUGAGAUCACGGCCAGAAGGGUCCAGCAAGCUCCAGGCCCUGGUGCUGGGACAGCCCUGGAACAGAUUCUCUGGGGGGAGCCCAUGGCAUGGACAGGAAAACCAGGGCAUUGGGAACAGCCAGGGCUUGGGAAAGGCAGGUCCUGCCUGACUCACCUGAUCUCCUGCUGUGCCUAGGUGGCCCCAGAGGAUGUUGGACAUGUGUUGGUAUGUCUGCCUGAAACUCAGUAAAGCCUUUGGCACUGCCUCCAUCUCCCUGCCUCUCCUGGAGCACCUGCAUCUCCCAGCUGGGAGAGGUGCUUCUUGUUGGGAACACCUGUCUGCUGCCCAGGCCGAGGAGGGAGUGGGAAUGGGGCUAUAGCCAGCUGGGGCUGGGCACUGCUGGGGUUCUCCAGGGCUCAGUGUUGGGACUGGUCCAACUGAUCUUCAUCUGUGUGGUGGUUUCACAUUGAUUGAUGUUUGGGGAAGAAGUAAGAAACUAAUCACAGAAGUGAUUUCUUUAAGAGAAGCUGGGAGCUUCCUCUCUGCCUGGGAAAGGCCAAUAGCUGGCUGGUUCUGAGAACUGACAACAUUUUGAACCAUUUAGAAAUUAGAUCCGCCUCUUUGAGAUCCACAUUUAAAAAACCACAAGUCUAGGAACUCUGUGCUUCCAGCCUCGAAGGGUAGCUGAACUCUGGUGGGGCUGGCCCCACUCCUCUGUGGCCUGUGUGGCCCAGGGUGGGUGCCAGGCUGGACCCCAGCAGCUCCCAGGCUGGGGACAGGACGCUGCUGGGCCACGGCUGCUGACGUCUCGCCGACACUAAAUUCCCUCCCCAGCCCAUACCGACAGCUCCAGGAGUGCCCCCCACCAACCCCCAGCGGCUGCCAGCACGGCCUGAAAUCCAAUACAGUGAUUGCUGUGGCCCCUGGGUGAGAUUUAACCCUUUCACUACACAGAUGAGACCUGCAGACCUUAAUCCUCUCUAGAGAAAGAAAAAGAGUGAUGACUUGUAGAAAGACAACAUGAAAACAGCAAGGUCAGUAAAGAAAGAGUCAAACCUCAAAUGGAAAGAGAAUGAAGAGAUGCCUAAUGAGGCUGAAGUAUUCCUUCAAUAGGGCCAUGGAGAUGGACAAUGAUACACUGAAAUAUCCCCUUUAAUUCAUGAGAGAGUAUGGAGGCAUGAAGCAUUCAAACUGUGGAUUCAGCAGAGGCAUCCACUGAUGAAGCCAAGCAGAUGUUGGAGUAGCUGUGAUCCCAUGAGAUGCUUGAACAGAGAGAGAGAUGAGAGUUGAUGAAGACCCUUUGCCCCCAGGGGGAGAAGAAGAAAACAUGUUCUCAGAGAUGAUCACAGAGACAGAUAAAGAGAACCUUUACCUUUGAGCAACUCAUCCUUAAAAUAAUAUCCCAUGAGUUCAUGGCCCAUGGACACACCUCUAGGAGGGCUGUGAAAAUGGGAGGAAUUUCACAAUGCAGAACUUUUUCCCAGGCAGCUGCUAAUUGUGGAAAUGAAAAGCCACAAGAAAACAGUUUAUUGUGGAAAAGUCUCCAUGGCAUAGCAAGAGAAAAUUCCUCUCCUUGCAAGAACUGAUGAAAGACUAUUGUAUAGCUGGUAUCUGAUCUAACAUCCCAGGCGUUGUCUCUAUGUUGUCAGUUAAAGAAGUUGGGGAGGGGAAGAAUGCAUUCUGAUGCUUCUUAUUCUUGUAGUUCUAUUAAUAAAAUUUCUUUAUACCUUUCA